GAAAUGCGAUAAGUAAUGUGAAUUGCAGAAUUCAGUGAAUCAUCGAAUCUUUGAACGCACAUUGCGCCCGCCAGUAUUCUGGCGGGGAUGCCUGUUCGAGCGUCAUUUCAACCAUCAAGCCCCCGGCUUGUGUUGGGGACCUGCGGCUGCCCGCAGGCCCUGAAAAACAGUGGCGGGCUCGCUGUCACACCGAGCGUAGUAGCAUACAUUCUCGCUCAGGGCGUGCUGCGGGUUCCGGCCGUUAAACGACCUUCAUAACCCAAGGUUGACCUCGGAUCAGGUAGGAAGACCCGCUGAACUUAAGC
rnacentral:misc_RNA from 1 species